AAAGUCGUAACAAGGUUUCCGUAGGUGAACCUGCGGAAGGAUCAUUAACACGUAUCCAACGUUAAACCCCCCCGUGCACCUUCAAACACCAUACAGCGCUUCGUGACCCAUCUUGUGUCGGGAUUGAUGGUCGGGAAAAACAGGGAUCUAGGGAGUUGGUUGUCGGGGGAGAACCUCGCGAAAUGGGGUGGCACGCCGAGAGGCGGGGACCAUUCCUGGUUGCGAUGUAAACGUGGUCUCCACUUCAACUUGUUUAGUACCUUUUGUCCUCUACCCGUACCGCUUGUCGCCACGAUUUGGAUCUUGAUGCACCCGUUUUCUUAUAACCACCGCUGGAAAACUAUGUCUUCCCGCAAAAGUACCCGCUCGGGGGGCCUGAGAACCUUCCAGAGCUGGAAUACCCGAACAACUGUUAACAAUGGAUAUCUUGGCUCUC
rnacentral:misc_RNA from 1 species